AUUGAACGCUGGCGGCAUGCCUUACUCAUGCAAGUCGAACGGUAGCAGGUCUUCGGAUGCUGACGAGUGGCGAACGGGUGAGUAAUACAUCGGAACGUGCCUAGUAGUGGGGGAUAACUACUCGAAAGAGUGGCUAAUACCGCAUGAGAUCUACGGAUGAAAGCAGGGGAUCGCAGGACCUUGUGCUACUAGAGCGGCCGAUGGCAGAUUAGGUAGUUGGUGGGAUAAAAGCUUACCAAGCCGACGAUCUGUAGCUGGUCUAGGAGGACGAUCAGCCACACUGGGACUGAGACACGGCCCAGACUCCUACGGGAGGCAGCAGUGGGGAAUUUUGGACAAUGGGCGCAAGCCUGAUCCAGCAAUGCCGCGUGCAGGAUGAAGGCCUUCGGGUUGUAAACUGCUUUUGUACGGAACGAAAAGCCCUGGGUUAAUACCCUGGGCCGAUGACGGUACCGUAAGAAUAAGCACCGGCUAACUACGUGCCAGCCGCCGCUGUAAAAC
rnacentral:rRNA from 1 species